GCUCCCUUCGUCUAGCGGUCCAGGACGCCGCCCUCUCAAGGCGGAAACAGGGGUUCGAUUCCCCUAGGGAGCGCCA
rnacentral:tRNA from 1 species